rnacentral:rRNA from 1 species
UACAGAGGGGGCAAGCGUUGUUCGGAAUUACUGGGCGUAAAGGGCGCGUAGGCGGCCCUCUAAGUCAGACGUGAAAUCCCCGGGCUCAACCCGGGAACUGCGUCCGAUACUGGAAGGCUUGAAUCCGGGAGAGGGAUGCGGAAUUCCAGGUGUAGCGGUGAAAUGCGUAGAUAUCUGGAGGAACACCGGUGGCGAAGGCGGCAUCCUGGACCGGCAUUGACGCUGAGGCGCGAAAGCCAGGGGAGCAAACGGG